rnacentral:rRNA from 1 species
GCGACGCACGGUCCAGAAGCUGCGGGAAUGGUGUGGGUCCAAGCGUUAGUGGUAAUUAAUUGUACGAAAGCUGACGCAGGCCGUAUGUCAAGUAGUAUGUGAAAUCCCCCGGCUCAACCGGGGAACUGCAUUCGAAACGGGCAGGCUAGAGUCUUGUAGAGGGGGGUAGAAUUCCAGGUGUAGCGGUUAAAUGCGUAGAGAUCUGGAGGAAUACCGGUGGCGAAGGCGGCCCCCUGGACAAAGACUAACGCUCAGGUGCGAAAGCGUGGGGAGCAAACAGGAUUAGAUACCCUUGUAGUC